GGUUGAGUAGUGUAGUGGUCAACAUGGUGGCUUCACACGCUACAGCCCCGGGUUCGAUUCCCGGCUCGACUA